GGAAGGAUCUCUGUUUGGAGAUUCUUCCCUUGUGGAGCUUUUCCUGUGAGCUGAGAUCUUUGGAGACAGAAUUUUCUAGACUCAGAGGACCUGUGUAUGUAAACCACAGAGAGGAAGAGGGAAAAGUGACUUAAGCAAAAAUGACAACUUGUCCUGUUCUGAUCUAGACUGGAGAAACUGCCUGUAUAUAUAUGUGGAUGACUGGAAGCCUGCCUAAUGCCAAAAGUUUGGCUGCGAUGCUCAAAACCAGACAUUUCAGAGUGUUUUGAUAUCUGUGAACAUGUAAGAAGAAAAUCAUUUGAAACUGUGUUCGCUUGUUCCCGUGCCUUGGAGAAGGUUUAUAAUCGUGCAGCAGAGCAGCCACAACCUGCAAUCAUGAGUUGGAGCUAAUAUCCUCAGAAGAAGGUAACCAUUAUAACCAGCAACCUGCACAGCAUUUCAUCUAUCCCUAGUCAUAGCACGAUGGUGUGUGAGGCAAAGAAUUUAGUGUCUGGUGUGAAGACAGCAGCCUACCUGCAAUGAAGAAUUCUGCACAUAAAAAGGAACUUAGAAGAAAAUAAAAGGUCACCAUCUUAAGGAAGCCACACAUUCCCAUCUUUGCCCCAAAACAGCCAGUGUCUAGGAGAAACUUCACGUACCUCAUUGUUUGCCUGCAAAGCCUAGGUUGCAGUGUUGUCAAACCAUGAGAUUCAAGGAAUGGAAACCUGGACUUCUGCACAUUGUACAGAGAGUGUAGCAAUGAAUCAGGUAUCAACAUUUAGUUUUUCAAUUGAAAUAGCAAAUACAAGGUCUGGUAUUUAUUUGAAAAGUACUGAAAACUGAGUUCUAAAGCAAUCACCUCCAAAAGAAAUAUGCAUCAGUGAAAAGCACUUCGGAUUAUAAUGAAAUAAACUAAUUACUCCUAAAGAUAAGAUCUGAAAGAAGCACCAUGGUUUUAUUUUUCCUCCAAAAGUUCCAGAAACAGUAAGAUGACCUUUUGGGGAAUUGUAUAGGAAACUGGGGAGAUAAUGGGUCCUUUGAAACAAUGACUAAAUGGGUGAAACUGAAACAGAAUUUUUAAGUGAAAUAUUUUCUUAUAUAAUCUGUCACCAUGAAACAAUUUGCAGUUGUGGCAUUAGGGAAUAAACUGGCCAUCAUUCCGGGGUAAGAAUGGGACAGUAGUGUGUCCUGUAGUCUUCACUGGGAACACACUGCACGGGACAGCAAAAGAAAUCACCUAAGCUCUACUGCUCCCUUAGUCUUUGUUCCUCCCAGAGAUUAAGUGGAAAACAUUUUAAACUUGAAUCAUAAGUAAGCAUGCACAAACACCAGUUUAUUGUGUUCCACUAAUAUGCUGCAAGUGUAUUCAUUACAGUGCUCUUGCCUCUGCAAAUUGACAAUGGAAAUGUGCUUUUCUGCACAUUUUGUUCAGACUGCAUUUGUGCAGCGAUGAUCAGGUGUAAACAUCAGUGCCUGUAAUAGAACAUGGGGCUGCCUGGGGGAGCAAAGGGGCUUUAAGAGGUGAGAACAAGAGGGCUGCAGCUGGCUGCAUGCAGACAGGCUGUACUGCAGGCUUGAAGGCCCUAUAGUGCUUCCCCUCUCCUUCUUGGUCCAGUUAGAGAUACUCAUGGGCACAAAGAAAAUCUCUGCGUGUCAUUCCUCUCUGACUUUGUAACUCCAUUUGAGAUACUUUAGGAACUGUACAUAAAGUGCGUUAAAGG
rnacentral:lncRNA from 7 species